rnacentral:rRNA from 1 species
GAUGAACGCUGGCGGCGUGCUUAACACAUGCAAGUCGAACGGGAAACCUUUUAAUGCAGCUUCGGCAGAUUUAGCUGGUUUCUAGUGGCGGACGGGUGAGUAACGCGUGGGUAACCUGCCUUAUACAGGGGGAUAACAGUCAGAAAUGACUGCUAAUACCGCAUAAGCGCACAGGACCGCAUGGUCCGGUGUGAAAAACUCCGGUGGUAUAAGAUGGACCCGCGUUGGAUUAGCUUGUUGGUGGGGUAACGGCUCACCAAGGCGACGAUCCAUAGCCGGCCUGAGAGGGUGAACGGCCACAGUGGGACUGAGACACGGCCCAGACUCCUACGGGAGGCAGCAGUGGGGAAUAUUGCACAAUGGGGGAAACCCUGAUGCAGCGACGCCGCGUGAAGGAAGAAGUAUCUCGGUAUGUAAACUUCUAUCAGCAGGGAAGAUAGUGACGGUACCUGACUAAGAAGCCCCGGCUAACUACGUG